GACACUGUUCAGCUUUUUUAUCUUUUACCAGUAUUUGGGGACUUAUUGGGGAUUCCUUUGAUAAUUUCAGGAAGAAAGAAGUGGAAUGGAAGGAGCCAGUAACUGUCCCAGGUCAGAAAACGCCUCUGAAAAGGAUCUACAUUACACCCAAAGUUCAUUGGAUAACUGCACCCUCAACAAUCAGGAGACAAUAAGUGGUGUAGACAGAGCUAAUAUCUUCCCCAAAUCAGAUGGUACCUCUGAAGACAUUCAGCAUUCCACAGACUGUUCACAGGUUGAGACUUUCCACAUUCAGGAGACAAUAAAGGGUAUAAACCAAGCCAGUAACUGCCCCAAAUCAGAUGGUGCCUCUGAAGACAAUCAGCAUUGCACAGACAGUCCACAGCAUGACAGUAUCUUCCACAUUCAGGAGACAAUAAAGGGUACAAACCAAGCCAGUAACUGCCCCAAAUCAGAUGGUGCCUCUGAAGACAAUCAGCAUUGCACAGACAGUUCACAGCAUGACAGUAUCUUCCACAUUCAGUGGCUCUUGAUGUAGAACCACCCAUAGAUCCUUCUGCAAAAGAAGUCCAGAAAUCUUCAAUUGAACAAGCAACAGAAAUAACAAGUACCACAACUACCAUGAAAGGUACUGUUUGUUAAACUUCAUAGAAAGCCUUUAUGAACUUAAAAAUCUCUGUUUUUUCUGAUGUGCUUUGUUCAUUCAGGUCGAAAGGUGGUAAAGAAAAAGAAAUGGGACAGUGAUGAAAUGAAUGCAGUUGAAAAGCAUCUAAACAGGUUCAUCAAAACUUGUACAGUGCCAGGAAAACAACAAUGUGAGGCCUGUACCUGUUGCCUUGAAAGUUCUUUGUGAAGAACAAAAUCACUACCCUUAAAAGAAGAAUGUAAAGUCAGUUAUUUUAUUUUGUUUGGUAUCUUAUUUUCUGGUAUUUUAGAUUUCUGGUUAUUACAUUUGUUUUAAAAGGGAAUUAGAAGUGUCCUAGUGUCAGCCCAUCCUCUCCACCCCUCUUCAGAAAGAGCAGCUUAGAAUCUCUUUUUUUUUUUUUUUGGAAAUGGGUGC
rnacentral:lncRNA from 1 species